GUCACGCUGUAAACGAUGUCGAUUUGGGGUUGUUGCCUAGAGUGAUGGGCUCCGAAGCUAACGCGAUAAAUCGACCGCCUGGGGAGUACGGCCGCAAGGUUAAAACUCAAAUGAAUUGACGGGGGCCCGCACAAGCGGUGGAGCAUGUGGUUUAAUUCGAUGCAACGCGAAGAACCUUACCUGGUCUUGACAUCCAUAGAAUUCUGCAGAGAUGUGGGAGUGCCUUCGGGAACUAUGGGACAGGUGCUGCAUGGCUGUCGUCAGCUCGUGUUGUGAAAUGUUGGGUUAAGUCCCGCAACGAGCGCAACCCUUAUUCUUUGUUGCCAGCGAUUUGGUCGGGAACUCAAAGGAGACUGCCGUUGAUAAAGCGGAGGAAGGUGGGGACGACGUCAAGUCAUCAUGGCCCUUACGACCAGGGCUACACACGUGCUACAAUGGCGUAUACAAAGGGAAGCGAAGGUGCGAGCUGGAGCGGAUCUCAUAAAGUACGUCUAAGUUCGGAUUGGAGUCUGCAACUCGACUCCAUGAAGUCGGAAUCGCUAGUAAUCGUAGAUCAGAAUGCUACGGUGAAUACGUUCCCGGGCCUCGUACACACCGCCCGUCACACCAUGGGAGUGGGUUGCACCAGAAGUAGAUAGCUUAACCGCGAGGGGGGCGUUUACCACGGUGUGAUUCAUGACUGGGGUGAAGUCGUAACAAGGUAACCA
rnacentral:rRNA from 1 species